ACUAAUGUUAAAUUCCCACAUGAAAUAUGCGCCAGAUAUUUAAACCCAUCAAAGUGAUGCAGCUAGGGAAGCUUCCAAGAAAGUGGAAAACUUUUUUACGUUAAAGUAUUUGAGUUAGAAAGUCAAUGGCUGGAUUCUUUUCUCAUAGGUGCCUAAAGGAAGAAAUUUGUUAUUAGGCACUAAUGGUUUGAUGUAGGGCAAUUGAAUUGCAUUGAAAGCAACGAGAAAACAUAAAUGAGAAAAUUAAGGAAUUUAACAAUAGCCAUUCGACUUGUGGCAUUCUCGCCAUCAUUUGAUUUGUGUGUUCAUUUUCUAUGAAUGAAAGGAAAAAAAAAUGAAAAAGAAAAAAAGUUAAAUACCCUUUUCACUCCUUAAGGUGCAAUUUCUCAUUAAUUGCUAAUAAUAAGGAUGAUCCUAACAAAUGAGCUGAACUGUUUUGGCUAUCCACAAUUAGUUGUGAUUCAAGUUGAAAUUCUGAACAAAUUCAAAAUAUCACACUUCAUUGGAAUUCUUCCUUUCUUUGAAGGGAAGGAAGAUUGUUAUAUUAAUCAACAAAAGCAUAUAUAUACAUUACAAAAUUCACACUAAACAAGCCCAAUAAUGUGCAGUUAAUCCUGAUCCUAAAUAUUAAAUUUCCCAAAUUCAUUGACCAUUGUGUCACAGGAACUCGAUUCAGUCUUGGGGCCAAUUUCAAUUUCCCAAAAUAACUCACCAUUGCUUCAUAUGAACCCACCUCAGACUUGACAUUCAUGUAAAACGUCACCAUCGGCGGCGGACUGAUCGUGUACUCCGGGAACAUAAACUGCAACAUACCCAGAACACUCGAAGCGUCAUUUAACGUGGGACUGACACCGUCAACCUCCGCCUUCAUGAUCUCCCAAACCGAAAAUGCCGUGACGUUAUCGAAGCCACCCAACUCUUUGGCCACUUCAAUAAACUUCCGGUGGCUGUUUGGAGUCCAAACGAGCGGCCGCUUCUGCGUCCGUACAUAAGGCGAGUAACGUCUUGUCCUCCGAUCAUGUAGAUAUAAUCUGAUAUUUCCGAGAUGAAAACGAUUGACUCUUCUGUCCCCUCUCAUUGCUCCGCUCAAACCCGAACCCAAACUCUUAAAAAUUGACGCGUGAUCCGCUGUUCUGAUCUCAGUUUGAUCUUAAGCUGAAAAUUGAAUCGAUUCUGUGUCUAUGCGAUGUCGUUUCGGAUGAUCACUAAACUUGCGGUGUAUUUAGAAAGUGAAAAGGGUAAACGUGCACGAAGCCCACGUCAAAUGUAUGCAAGCAAUAUUUGUCCCAGCAGCUGCUAUGUAUAUUAAACGCAGCGUUUUGAUUGUAAUAAAAGUAUAAAACGCGCAGCGCCACUCGGAGAAUCGUAGUAGCGAGGAAAUGAGAACAAAAACGCGCGGUGGCAGUACUGGAGUCCCUAAAUCCGCUUCACCAAGUAGAACUUCAACAAGAAAGUAUUAAAAAUAUAGUAACAUACCAAUAGAAAAAUGUACAGAUUGCAAAGAAAUUGGAAAAUAUGAACGGAUGAUGAAUUGUGAUUUAUGAAACAGUGAAGGUGAAUUGAUGAAGAAUGAAGAAUCGGGAAGAGUUUAGAAAUAUUUUUGUUUUUUCUAAUGAUGAAUGGUACUUUAUAAUUAACAAUUGAUGAUAUUUUCGUAAUUAAUAAUUAAUGACAUUUUCGUAAUUUUAAUCAAACUAACUGAAUUUUUUUUUUCUUAUACCGGGCUGCUAACAGAUCCGCCCCUGCUAUUUUUGAUCACUUUAGUCGGUGAACAGUACUGGAACCACUCAUUGAGGUAACCACAAGCAUUACUAAAGAGUGGUCCCCAACCACUGACGCAUUGGCAAUCGGGCGUUGGUCCAAACCUCGGCGUGGUUGUGAAAUGAACAGCUUAUGUUUCGGUGUUUUUGAUAAGGUGGCUUUUGUGGUCCUCAAAAAGAAGCAACAAAUACUUGUAAAGGCUUUCAGCAAAAUUUGAAGACAAGCAUGGGAGAACAAGAGCUCAUUCGUAGAAACAAAAGAUGGUCUCUCAAUGGAAUGACUGCUUUAGUCACUGGAGGAACCCGAGGCAUAGGGUAAGUUUUACUCUCUUUUUCUUUCUGUCUGUUUGAUUUUUUUUUUUUUCCCAAGCAUAUUUGGAUCUGAACUUAUUUGCUGGAAAUUCAUUGAUUGUGAUUAGGCAUGCUACUGUAGAAGAAUUAGCAAGAUUUGGAGCAAUUGUUCACACAUGUUCACGUAAUCAAAUUGAGCUCGAUGCACGUUUACAUGAAUGGAAAAACAAAGGGUUCAAAGUAACGGGGUCAGUAUGUGACCUGUCAUCCCGCGAACAGCGUGAGAAGCUAAUAGAGACUGUCACCUCCAUCUUUCAGGGGAAGCUCAACAUUCUUGUAAGCCUAGCUUCCAAGCUCCUGCAAAACAAUUAGUUUUACAUAUCAGAUAUGAGUUUAUGUGAUUAACAUUUUCUUUAGAUAAACAAUGCUGCAAUAGCUUUCGUAAAACCAACGGUGGAUAUUACAGCUGAGGACAUGUCAACUGUAAGCAGCACAAAUUUCGAGUCUGUUUUUCAUCUGUCUCAACUAGCACAUCCUCUGUUUAAAGCAUCAGGGAAUGGAAGUAUCGUAUUUAUUUCCUCUGUUGGGGGCGUUAGAGGAAUACCUUCUGUUUCUCUGUAUGGUGCAUACAAAGGUGCGAAUCGGUUUUAUUUCUUCUUCUCGAAAAUUCUGUAAGAUUCCAACUUCCAAGAAAUAUGAAUGCAUAUAUCUGCUAAUAAAAUCUGUCAUACACUUUACUUGCAGGAGCCAUGAAUCAACUAACGAAGAAUUUGGCAUGCGAGUGGGCAAAGGAUAACAUCCGUACUAAUACAGUUGCACCCUGGGUUAUUAAAACCUCAAUGAUCAAACCUUUUGAGGUAUUAUCUGUUGGCAUCAAGGGAAGACAGUAAAAUGAAGAAAAAAACACAUUUUGCUAAUUUGCCAUUCCUUCUAAUUCAACUGUGCUGUACUUCUUCUAGAGCAUGUAAAUAACAACUUAAAUACUUUACCAUGAGAGCAUGUUGAAACAAAAAUACAACAUCUAGCAUGCAGCAGGUAAACUGAAAAGUGUCACUGUCAUGAAAAAGAAUAAAUAAACAAAUAACUAAAGCUUGUAUCCGUGUAAGGUUAUGCUAUCCAUAAUGCCUGAAGUGUGUUCCAGAGCGUCAAAAAAUAGUUGCUGCAGCACACAAUUCCUUUUCUGGGCACAAGUUUUUCUCAACCUUAUAUACCUAGUGUUGGAUUUCAUCGUAUCUACAAUUAUGUAUUUUUCUUACGGGUGAAACUGAUUGAUUCCAUCUUUUCUCAGGAAGGUCCUGAAGGAAGUGAAUUUCUGGAUGGAAUAGCACGUCAAACACCCAUCGGUCGAGCUGGAGAGCCUGAUGAGGUUUCUUCAUUGGUGGCAUUCCUUUGCCUUCCAGCUGCUUCAUAUAUCACAGGGCAGAUUAUUUGUGUCGAUGGAGGGGUGACUGUGACUGUGAAUGUGAAUGGAUUGCGCUCAACUGGAAAUUAGACAAAUCCUCUUUGUUCUAGCCGGUAUUUCCAGUCAGUCAAGGUUUCUUUUUUCUUUUCUUUUCUUUUCUUUUUUUUAGAGUGCCAGAAGCUGUACUGAAAUCUUUCUUGUAUAAUAAAGUUGUGUCUUUUAAUCAUGAUAGUUUUAAUUAUGAAGCCAAUGCAGCGUACAAUUUCAUCUUCCAAAAACCCAAUUAGUCAAGUCACCAAAGAAAUAUUAUUUUGUAUUAAAUGGCUAUUCAAAGUUUGAAAAGGGUAACAGGUUGAAUUUACAGUGACUUUACUUGCAAUCCAAGUUUCCUUAUAGUUUAAGUCUGUGUGGCAAAGUAAAAUGUUUCCGAAUAAAUACCACUAACUGUUACUUAUAUGAUAAGACGAAAAUAGCAGCAGCCAGCAGUUCAACAAAAUUGGAAAAACAUGUGAAGAUGCAAAAAGCAAAGGUGGUCUCUACAGGGUAGCCCUUGUUACCGAUGGAACCAGAGGCAUCGGGGUAAUAAGAUGAUUAAUGUCUGAAAAGAAGAGGAUAAAAUCUGAGUUGUAUUUAUAAUAGGCUUGAUCUGGGAUACUUGCGUGCUGUAGAUUUUUUAUUAUAACAUACAUAUUAGUGCUACAAAAUAAUGUCCAAGAUACUCCUAAUUAAGCAUACCAAAAAGUAACCAUCAAUUUGUGCACUUACUACAUGUAUUUUCAAGGGAAAAUAACACUUAAUAUUUGGUCUAGCAAAAUUUUUUACCGCUUGGGUUAUUUAUAAAUUUUAAUAUCUUAUUUUGUCAAUUUUGUUAAAAGGUUAAUGAAAACAAGAAUAUUUUGUUAUUUGGUAAACAAUGGCAAAACAAGUAAGCCUUUAUUAAAUUAAAAGAAAGAGUACAACGAAUCAGAUUGGACAAAAUUAACCUUAUUUCUUAAGCAUAAGCUAAGGUCCAGUAAAAAGCAAUCGUCAAAAGCAAAACUAAGAAAAGGAUCAUGCAGAAACAAGUCAAAACCAAUAUAUCUUUAUUUUAGGGGCGGCAAAACAAAUAAACAAAUGGAAUUCAAAUCAAACCAUAAAUAAAUUGGCUCAAAAGUCUGUUGAUUUUGAUUUGAUUUAUUUAUUAAAUGAAUAUUUGGUUCAAUUCGUUUAAUUCCUUUAGUAGAAUUAAGAAACGAAUCGAACAUAAAUUUAUUUACUACUCAUGUAUUUUAUAACGAAUCGAGUUGACAAUGAAAUCGUUUAUAAAAAUAUAAUUACUGAACAAAAAUUAAGUAGAAUAUAAUGUAAAAAGAUCAUGAAUUUAACAUCUUACAAAAUACAAAUUUUAUAAUUUACAAUUACUAUAUUAGCCUUCAAACUUCAAAAUUUUUUCGUACAUAUUUAAGGAUAAAUAAGUUUAAUUGAACGAAUAAUAAAUGAAUGGAUCGUAUUUGAUUUGUUUAUAACCUAUUUAUUAAAUGAAUUCUAAACAAAUAAGUGAAUCAAUCUCCUCAAACUUGGAUUUGAUUCGUUUAAUUAACAAAUCGAAUCAAAUUCAUUUGUUUAUUAAACGAAUCAAUUUUUUCAAAUUCAAACCCAAUUAAUUCGUAUCGAAUAGAAUCAAAUAGGUGAAUCUUGACUCAGAUUGCCACCCCUUCAGCACAAAUGAAUUAAAAUUACUCUCGUAAAUCAACCGUCAACAUAAUGAAAAAAGAAUAAUUUUUACGAGUAAAUAUGACUUUUUGACAUAUGCACUGAUUUAAAAUGAUUAUCCACACAUUACUUUUUGCAACAAACAAUAUAUAGAAUUAUAUUCUAGGAAAUAAGCCAACCCCACCUUUAAAAGCUUCCAAACAAUCGAUAAGUACUCAUGUUCAUGCAGCGAGCUUGCAAAAAUUUGCUAUUUAUAAUUAUAUAUGUGUUAGAACAUUGUAUUGAAUAUUUAGGGUGUGUUUGUGAUUGAGAUUAAAUAAUUGUAACUUUUAAGUUACAACAUUAAAGUGUUUGGUAAACACUAAUUGCUGUAACUUAUAAAUUAUGUUAAUAUAAUUUUUUACUUGUAUAAUAAAAAUUAUAUUAUAUCUUUAAUAAUUUUAUCAAAAUUAUUAUUUAAAAUUUAUAUUUAUUAUAUAUUAUUAAUUUUUGUUUCAUAGUUACAGUUUUUUUUUCCACAUCAGUUGUAACUUAAAAGUUACAGCACCUCACUUCCAAAUAAGACCUUAAUUACCUAUAGUGUUUGAACCAUACUAAUAUUCUCAAUGUAAUAAAUAUAUUUUGUUGUAGUUUGAAGAACUUCAACUAAUGUAGUCAGUGUAUACCACUCAACCAACGAGUGAUUUGCCCGGCUCUUUACUCUUUAGUAGUAUUCUUAACUCUGUUUCUUGAUUAUCUUUUGCUUGAUGAGGCUGGUUUUUAUGCUUUUCUUGUUUUCUUAGUACAGACAUAACCUGAUCACGUAGUUGCCGCUGACUCUUCAGCUGAAAAUAUAGAUAGGCAGCAUAAGCCACAAGCAUGAUAUAGCUACUAAAUCUUGAGAGGGCCAAUUCAGACUUCCCAAAAUGCAGCUCGGUGUGUGUAGCAUGGAGAACAGCAGGGAACAAUAAACCCAUUACUGCCAUCAGCAAUCCAGAGUUCACUGAAGCAACUGCCUAUCAAUAAAAUUAGAGCAGUUUUAACCUCUCUGUUGACAAACUUAUAAAUGGACAUAAGAUAAACAAACUUAGUAAUGGACAUAAAGAGUUAAAGAACAACAAAGAAUUUUUCCCUUGGUUUAAGAUAUCAAAUGUGAUCAAAAUGCUAACAGACCUUACUAAACACUUGCUCCCUCUAUGCAUUCACAAGUCCCCCAUAGAAGAAAGCAGAGCCUAGCACCAGCAGCAUGUUUGAUAAAAUAGAACCGAGUAAUGAUUGUUGAACUACACGCAUCAUGUGCCCUUUUUAUGCUAAAUUUGAUAUUAUCAAUUCUGUUAAAUUUCUGAAAGUAGUAUUUAGUAGACCUCCAACUGCAAAUGGCAUUAAGAGGAUAUUUUAUCAUUGAGUAAUCCCGGUAAACGAAUUGAUGCUCAAACAUAUUUUUCACCUAAUUUUUUUUUUUUUUUUGAGAGAAACAAACAUAAAAGCUUGUCGUGAAUUUGGAAGCUUGAAGAACAGAGGAGCUUGGUGGGUGGAAGAAAUAAAAAACUUAUGGAAAUGAUGUCAAACUGAAACUUCAUUAUCGACAAUAAAAGAGCCUGUAGGUCCUGUAAAGAAAGCCAGCUGCCUACAUUAAAUUAAGCACAAGCUGCAAAUUAGGUACUAAUGAAAUCAUUUAUCCUUUCAAUAUUGAUACAAUCGAAUGGAAGCAUAACCAAAUUUUGGUAUAUUCCAAUGUCAUAAUCUAGAGUCUGAAAAUUCAUAUAAAUGAAAUUUCAUAUGGAGAACCAUACAGAUAAAAUGCAAAGGAAACUUGCUCAGUUACAAAACCAAGACGCUCAGCUAGAGGAAUGAUCCCCAACAUUCUCAGAAGAAAACCCAACCCUGAAAAUUCACACAAGGAAAUCAAAAUCAACAGUAAAAGGAAAUGUAAUUUUCACAAGCUUCUUGAACGAACAAACACAUUGGCAACAAAAACAAACAGAAACUCUCAUGAGCACCAGAAGUUUUAACGACAACAAUUGCUACGGGGCCAAAAAUUAUCAAUAUGUUUAGUUUUGUAGAGAAUACAAAAACCUUGAUGAUCUCAAUGGCCCCAUUACAACUCCUGGUCACAUAUGCAUUUUGACCGCUGCUAACAUCUAAACUGCCAUUGGACAACUUAAAUGAAGGUUUCUUAACCGCCAUUGAACCUGGAUUCACUAGGCUCUAGUGUUCCAUCUCAAGCAAUGCUCUGUAUUCCAAUGAUCCCAUCUACAUAACAAAAAAUACCCUUUUGUGAAAAAUCAAGAGACCUUCAAAAUUCAUUGUAAAUGAAAGCAAAGAAAACAAACCUCAACUAUGGAUUGAUUUGAGCUAACAAUGGUUUCUCAUCAAUGUUGCUUCUGCUAUUAUCCAUUUUAUUGUAGACCAAAAGCUCCAUAUUACUCCUCGAUCUUGUACUCCACAGACAUCCCAUGUACAAAUAUAAAACUAAUGUUAAAUUCCCACAUGAAAUAUGCGCCAGAUAUUUAAACCCAUCAAAGUGAUGCAGCUAGGGAAGCUUCCAAGAAAGUGGAAAACUUUUUUACGUUAAAGUAUUUGAGUUAGAAAGUCAAUGGCUGGAUUCUUUUCUCAUAGGUGCCUAAAGGAAGAAAUUUGUUAUUAGGCACUAAUGGUUUGAUGUAGGGCAAUUGAAUUGCAUUGAAAGCAACGAGAAAACAUAAAUGAGAAAAUUAAGGAAUUUAACAAUAGCCAUUCGACUUGUGGCAUUCUCGCCAUCAUUUGAU
rnacentral:lncRNA from 1 species